AACGCACAUUGCGCCCCCUGGUACUCCGGGGGGCAUGCCUGUUCGAGCGUCAUUACACCACUCAAGCACCGCUUGGUAUUGGGCAUCGCCUCCCCCCGGGGCGGCGUGCCCCGAAGACAUCGGCGGAGACCGACCGGCUCCGGGCGUAGUAGAUCUCUCUCACGUCCAAGGGUCCGUCCGGCCUCCCGCCGCGAAACCAGGGCUAACCCCCGACACCUCAAGGUUGACCUCGGAUCAGGUAGGAAUACCCGCUGAACUUAA
rnacentral:misc_RNA from 1 species